rnacentral:rRNA from 1 species
AGUGAACGCUGGCGGUAGGCCUAACACAUGCAAGUCGAACGGCAGCACAGUAAGAGCUUGCUCUUACGGGUGGCGAGUGGCGGACGGGUGAGGAAUACAUCGGAAUCUACUUUUUCGUGGGGGAUAACGUAGGGAAACUUACGCUAAUACCGCAUACGACCUACGGGUGAAAGCAGGGGAUCUUCGGACCUUGCGCGAUUGAAUGAGCCGAUGUCGGAUUAGCUAGUUGGCGGGGUAAAGGCCCACCAAGGCGACGAUCCGUAGCUGGUCUGAGAGGAUGAUCAGCCACACUGGACCUGAGACACGGUCCAGACUCCUACGGGAGGCAGCAGUGGGGAAUAUUGGACAAUGGGCGCAAGCCUGAUCCAGCCAUACCGCGUGGGUGAAGAAGGCCUUCGGGUUGUAAAGCCCUUUUGUUGGGAAAGAAAGGCAGCAGGUUAAUACCCCGCUGUUCUGACGGUACCCAAAGAAUAAGCACCGGCUAACUUCGU